rnacentral:tRNA from 1 species
UGCGGAUUGGUGUAAUAGCAACAUAAUUGGCUCAUGUCCAAUAGAUAGAAGUGCAAAUCUUUUGUCCGCAU